rnacentral:lncRNA from 10 species
CACCGAGGAAGCAGACCCCACCGGGCUCCCGAGGCUGCCAGGCCCCCCGCUCAGGGCGCUGCCUGCAGAACCACGCCCCCCUGUCCCUGUGCUAAGAGGGUGACGCGAGUGCCCGAAGCCCUGGCCUGGUUACCAUUCGCGACUCCCUCGUCCUGGGUUCUCCCAUUGCCAGGAAUGUUUUACUAGUAACCAUGGUAUAGUUGAGACGAUCCACUCUUGUCCUACGCAUUUCGGCACAAUACAGGCGUCUAGGAGGCUUACCUGGCAUUGCCUGAGAGAAUCUUCCAUCCAUUUAAGUACCCAGUAACAGAGGGAGCAAAGCAAAUCUUAUCCUCAAAGAACUGCAGCUGCUUGUUAGAUCUACCUGGUGGUUCCAUAGAGAAACUGCUCAGAGAACCUGCCUUUACCUCGCCUAAAACAGAACUAUCCCGGAGCUCAGCAAAGGAGUCCAUUCAUCCUCUAUAACUGCUAUACAAUAUCUCUGUUAAAAUGCUGAGAAGAUUUAUCCUAAAAGAAGGCACCAAAGCAAUGGGGGCUGUGCAAAUAAUGAUUGGCCUGAUUCACAGUGCACUGGGAACUCUCUGAAUUCAUUGGAUUUUGCUAAGAGAGGAUUCAAGUGGUUCUGGUCCUAUCCCUAUAAUUGCUGUAGUAAUUUACUCAUUUUUGUCAUUAUUUUUUUUCAUCAACUCAGGAUCCAGUAGUGUAAUACAGAAGCCUGUUACGAGAUAUAAGGCACUUUGCCCUCGGAAAUCUCACUGUCGGAAUCCUUGGAAAUCACACCACGCACAACUUCUAUUUCUUCAUAAUUUGCAAAGAACCAGUGUGACUCCAGUCAAGAACAAAAGAUUAAUUGUGAAUUAGCGAAGAACUCUAAUUUUUUCAAGCAGCCACAUGGAAAACGCAUUCUAAUGAAAUCCUUUCCAUUGCUCUUUUUUCUUAGUUCUUCAAUAAAGCAUGCGAU